rnacentral:rRNA from 1 species
UACGAAGGGGGCAAGCGUUGUUCGGAUUUACUGGGCGUAAAGGGCGCGCAGGCGGUGCUUCAAGUCGGGUGUGAAAGCCCCGGGCUCAACCUGGGAACUGCACUCGAGACUGGAGCACUAGAGUUCGGGAGAGGAUGGCGGAAUUCCCAGUGUAGAGGUGAAAUUCGUAGAUAUUGGGAAGAACACCGGUGGCGAAGGCGGCCAUCUGGACCGAGACUGACGCUGAGGCGCGAAAGCGUGGGGAGCAAACAGG